AUCAGUCGUUGUUUCUAGACUUUAGCCACUGUGCGGUUGAGACAAAUAAGUGUAUUUUGUGUUCUUCCAAACUAUAAAGGUUUUUAAACAUUUACAAAAACUACCCGCAGUUAAAUCAACAAUAAUGCAGCUACGUUUUAUCGUCUUCAUCGCCGUUGUCUUCGCGGCAAUUGCAAUGCUGGAUGGAGUAAUCGGACAAUGUCAACUACUUGCAACCAACGUAAUUUUCCCCAUAGUUUGCCCGCUUUUGGCUACAUUUAAAGUGUUUGAAAGUGCAAGUUGUUGUUUAAUUGCUUUGACCAACUGCUGCAAUAGUCAGGCGGCUUGCAGUCUUUUCAUUGAGACUUGUUUGGUUACAAAAUGUACUAAUGAUCGCAAAUAAUGAAACUUAUCCUGUUUAAUGAAAAAUUUAAGGAAAAUAAAGAAAUGAUUAAUUGAA